CAAUAGCGUAUAUUAAAGUUGUUGCGGUUAAAAAGCUCGUAGUUGGAUUUCUGUUGAAGACGGCCGGUCCGCUCUAUGAGCGUGUAUCUGGUUCGGCUUUGGCAUCCUCGUGGGGAACGUAACUGUGCUUGAUUGCAUGGUGCGGUAUUCACGACUUUUACUUUGAGGAAAUUAGAGUGUUCACGGCAGGCAAGCGCCUUGAAUAUAUUAGCAUGGAAUAAUGGAAUAGGACUUUGGUUCUAUUUUGUUGGUUUCUAGGACCGAAGUAAUGAUUAAUAGGGACAGUUGGGGGCAUUAGUAUUUAAUUGUCAGAGGUGAAAUUCUUGGAUUUAUGAAAGACUAACUACUGCGAAAGCAUUUGCCAAGGAUGUUUUCAUUAAUCAAGAACGAAAGUUAGGGGAUCGAAGACGAUUAGAUACCAU
rnacentral:rRNA from 1 species